ensembl:snRNA U6 U6 spliceosomal RNA
GUGCUCACUUCAGCAGCACAUAUACUAAAAUUAGAACGAUACAGAGAAGAUUAGCAUGGAUGACAUGCAAAUUCAUGAAGCAUUCCAUAUUUUU